rnacentral:rRNA from 1 species
AUUGAACGCUGGCGGAAUGCUUUACACAUGCAAGUCGAACGGUAGAGGGGGCAACCCCUCGAGAGUGGCGAACGGGUGAGUAAUAUAUCGGAACGUGCCCAGUCGUGGGGGAUAACGUAGCGAAAGUUACGCUAAUACCGCAUACGAUCUAAGGAUGAACGCGGGGGAUCGAAAGACCUAGCGCGAUUGGAGCGGCCGAUAUCAGAUUAGGUAGUUGGUGGGGUAAAGGCUCACCAAGCCAACGAUCUGUAGCUGGUCUGAGAGGACGACCAGCCACACUGGAACUGAGACACGGUCCAGACUCCUACGGGAGGCAGCAGUGGGGAAUUUUGGACAAUGGACGCAAGUCUGAUCCAGCCAUUCCGCGUGCAGGAUGAAGGCCCUCGGGUUGUAAACUGCUUUUGUACGGAACGAAAAGGUCUCUCUUAAUACGGGGGACUCAUGACGGUACCGUAAGAAUAAGCACCGGCUAACUACGUGCCAGCCGCCGCGGUAAAAC